AAUUUAUUCUAAAAUUCAUAUUUCAUAUAGCUCUUAACGUAUGUGCUAAUUUAAACAUAGAAAAUGUACAUGUAGGCAAAUCUAUAUACAAAUUAUGUACAUAGGUAAAUAUGCUUUAAUAGAUCUGGAAGGAAAGACAACAAAUUCUUGGUAAUUGUUGCCUCUAGGGACAAAGUUAGACCAGCCAAGAAAGAAAUUGGUACCUCUUAACUCUAGCUCCUUCUAGAAAAGAAUAGUGCUGAGGUUAUGGGUAACUUUUGAAAAUAAGAAUAUAGAUAUUGUGAAAGUCAGAAUGGCAUUGCUUUUUAAAAAGUGUUCCUGCUGCCUUUAAAUAAAGAUUUGGAAAGUACAUU
rnacentral:lncRNA from 1 species